UUAACCAUAGAACUUGUGGAGUUUAUGUGAGAUUUUCAUUUUGUUUGGUUUGGUUUUCAAGCAAAAACACAGAUCCAUGUUGCUUCCCUCAAAAGCAUUCCCCAAUUUUACCUGUAAGCUUGUCUAACCUACUGCUUAUUGAACUCCUUUACCUUAGAACAUUUGAAGAAAUUUGCUUUCUAAUGUUUCAAACAGACCUUGUAUUGUGUUGGGGUUUUUCUGUUUGGGUUUUUUGGUGUUUUGUUUUUUUUUUCCUAAUUUUUAUUUUAUUCUUAUCAAGAAAAAGCUUCCCCAGCCACAGUAUUUGUUCAAAAACCCAAAUUUGAUAUUCAGGUUCACUGGAGGAAUGAGGAAUGCCUUAACAAGUACUGGAAAGCUGUACACUGAACAAAACUAAUACUCAAGGGCAGUAAGGGCCAUUGAAGCAGGUUUGUGAGAUUCAAAGACCUCCUCAGCUGCUGAGCCUGAUCCAAAGGUCACUGAAAGUCAACAAAUGGCCAUUUAUGGUGUCAAAAGUGAUUUUGAAAUGUACCUCCCAGAGCAUCUGGAGAUGUUGGUUUGAUUACGUAACACACUGACUCCUGCUCUUUGGUACACAAGAUGAAUGCUAAAAUUUUUUUCUGUUUUAAGAUAAAAAAUCCUUCUGCCUGUCUCUCCAAUGCCUUGUGUAUCUCAAGAGCUAGAAUUUUGUGCAAUUCUAUGUAAACUGUAUUUGAAAGUACUUGAUAGCUCCACCACUUGUAGUCGCAGCAUAUACCAUAUCCAGACCAAUGUGCUGACCACCCUUAAAUCUGUGACCAGGUUUCCAAGCAAACUACUUAGCCUGAAGUAACAGACUGGAAGUUCCAGUUAAUCUGUACAUGGUGGGAUGGGCAAGGAAUGUUCCAGUAUGAAGCAGCACUACCCUAACAGGAAUGGAAAGGAUGUAUUUUAAGAAGGGCAGUCUUCAAACAACAAGUUUUCAGAAGAUUAUCUGUAUUAAAAUAAGACUUGUAAAACACAGCAAAGAGAUAAGGAGGAUAGAAAUACUUUGCACAUUUUAAAGACAUCAGCUGCAGAAGAGUGAAGGAUUGACAACUGCUCAGAUAUUGGUUAAUAUGAGAUAGCCCACAGUCAAAAGUACUGCUGUAAAAUCAAACAUCUCAUUUCAUAAUCUCUAUUUUGCAGCAGAGUAUAACAGAAGAAUGUUUAUAAAAGACAAUCAAGGACAACUUUCAUGCCCUGAAGAUAUUACCAAGUAUUUCAAACAAAAAAAAUCAUAUUAUCCAAGUGACAGGUACAAUUUCAGUAGAGAAUGAAGGACUGUGUUAAGUACACUUGGAUUUAGGGAACUGACAUUUUACUAAGCAAACACCUUAUUUUUUCUCAUAUGAAUUUUUUUUUUUUUACAAUCUUUUUUCCAGUCUUAUGAAGGACAAUGUUUUAGAUGUGUACAGGUAUUGCAAAAUUAAAUAAAGGAGACCUUAUUCGCUGAAACCAAUAUGUAUAAAUAAUGUAGUAUUUCUAUAGAUGCUUCAGGAAUGAUAACAGUAGGCCUUUUACAAUGCUGAGAUGUCUCUUUGAACUUGCUACUAUAAUCACUGUGUACAUAACUUAAUAGUAUAACAGCAAUACUUUAUCUUCAGAGCACUUGCAUCCUGAUAUGUGAAAUGGUAGGGUUGGAUCAUAAACAGCAGUUGAAAAAGUUACAAAGCUAUUUAUUGACUAUAUAAAGAACUUUGUUUCUUAUUUUAGGAAGGCUGUUUUGCCUUAACUCAGUACUAGACACUUUAAAUAAACAAAAUACAUAUUUAAAAAAAAAAACAAACAA